CGCGUAGGCGGGAUGGCAAGUCGGUCGUGAAAUCCUUCGGCUCAACCGAAGAACGUCGGCCGAUACUGCCGUUCUUGAGGGAUGCAGAGGAGACUGGAAUUCCCGGUGUAGCGGUGAAAUGUGUAGAGAUCGGGAGGAACACCGGUGACGAAGGCGGGUCUCUGGGCAUCUCCUGACGCUGAGGCGCGAAAGCGUGGGGAGCAAACGGGAUUAGAUACCCCGGUAGUCCACGCCAUAAACGAUGACGACUAGGUGUGGGGUGGUUCAGUCCACUCCGUGCCGCAGCUAACGCAUUAAGUCGUCCGCCUGGGGAGUACGGCCGCAAGGUUGAA
rnacentral:rRNA from 1 species